GACGAACGCUAGCGGCGUGCUUAACACAUGCAAGUCGAACGAAGAGCGAUGGAAGCUUGCUUCUAUCAAUCUUAGUGGCGAACGGGUGAGUAACGCGUAAUCAACCUGCCCUUCAGAGGGGGACAACAGUUGGAAACGACUGCUAAUACCGCAUACGAUCUAAUCUCGGCAUCGAGGAUAGAUGAAAGGUGGCCUCUACAUGUAAGCUAUCACUGAAGGAGGGGAUUGCGUCUGAUUAGCUAGUUGGAGGGGUAACGGCCCACCAAGGCGAUGAUCAGUAGCCGGUCUGAGAGGAUGAACGGCCACAUUGGGACUGAGACACGGCCCAGACUCCUACGGGAGGCAGCAGUGGGGAAUCUUCCGCAAUGGACGAAAGUCUGACGGAGCAACGCCGCGUGAGUGAUGACGGCCUUCGGGUUGUAAAGCUCUGUUAAUCGGGACGAAAGGCCUUCUUGCGAAUAGUGAGAAGGAUUGACGGUACCGGAAUAGAAAGCCACGGCUAACUACGUG
rnacentral:rRNA from 1 species